UACGUAGGGUCCGAGCGUUGUCCGGAUUUAUUGGGCGUAAAGAGCUCGUAGGCGGUUCCGUAAGUCAGAUGUGAAAACUCAGGGCUCAACCCGGAGACGCCAUCUGAUACUGCGGUGACUCGAGUCUGGUAGGGGAACACGGAAUUCCUGGUGUAGCGGUGAAAUGCGCAGAUAUCAGGAGGAACACCGAUGGCGAAGGCAGUGUUCUGGGCCAGUACUGACGCUGAGGAGCGAAAGCGUGGGGAGCAAA
rnacentral:rRNA from 1 species